rnacentral:rRNA from 1 species
AUUGAACGCUGGCGGAAUGCUUUACACAUGCAAGUCGAACGGCAGCACGGACUUCGGUCUGGUGGCGAGUGGCGAACGGGUGAGUAAUGUAUCGGAACGUGCCCAGUCGUGGGGGAUAACGUAGUGAAAAUUACGCUAAUACCGCAUACGAUCUAUGGAUGAAAGCGGGGGAUCGCAAGACCUCGCGCGAUUGGAGCGGCCGAUAUCAGAUUAGGUAGUUGGUGGGGUAAAGGCCCACCAAGCCAACGAUCUGUAGCUGGUCUGAGAGGACGACCAGCCACACUGGAACUGAGACACGGUCCAGACUCCUACGGGAGGCAGCAGUGGGGAAUUUUGGACAAUGGGCGAAAUCCUGAUCCAGCCAUUCCGCGUGCAGGAUGAAGGCCCUCGGGUUGUAAACUGCCUUUGUACAGAACGAAAAGGUUUCUGCUAAUACUAGGAGCUCAUGACGGUACUGUAAGAAUAAGCACCGGCUAACUACGUGCCAGCCGCCGCAGUAA